AGUGGAUGGGGAGCAACCUAGUUGUGCGUGUGUAAAGGUAGUGCCAAGAAAAGCGGUGAUCAUGAUGAAAAUCAAUUCCCGGUACCCGAAACCGACACAGGUGGGCAAGUAGAGAAUACUAAGGGGCGCGAGGUAACUCUCUCCAAGGAACUCGGCAAAAUGACCCCGUAACUUAGGGAGAAGGGGUGCCACCGAGAGGUGGUCGCAGUGAAGAGGCCCAGGCGACUGUUUAGCAAAAACAUAGGUCUCUGCAAACUCGAAAGAGGAGGUAUAGGGGCUGACGCCUGCCCAGUGCCGGAAGGUUAAAGAAGUUGGUCAGUCUUAGGACAAAGCUAGCGACUGAAGCCCCGGUGAACGGCGGCCGUAACUAUAACGGUCCUAAGGUAGCGAAAUUCCUUGUCGGGUAAGUUCCGACCCGCACGAAAGGCGUAACGAUCUGGGCGCUGUCUCGGAGAGAGGCUCGGCGAAAUAGGAUUGUCUGUGAAGAUACGGACUACCUGCAUUUGGACAGAAAGACCCUAUGAAGCUUUACUAUAGCUUGGAAUUGUGUUCGGGCUUCCUGUGCGCAGGAUAGGUGGGAGGCGUAGAAGGUAUUCUUGUGGGGAUACUGGAGCCAACGGUGAGAUACCACUCUCAGGAGGCUAGAAUUCUAACUUAAUUAAGGACAGUUUCAGGUGGGUAGUUUGACUGGGGCGGUCGCCUCCAAAAAGGUAACGGAGGCGUACAAAGGUUCCCUCAGACUGGUUGGAAAUCAGUCGAAGAGUGCAAAGGCAGAAGGGAGCUUGACUGCGAGAAGUACAGUUCGAGCAGGGUGGAAACACGGUCUUAGUGAUCCGACGGUUCUGUGUGGAAGGGCCGUCGCUCAACGGAUAAAAGUUACUCUAGGAUAACAGGCUGAUCUCCCCCAAGAGUUCACAUCGACGGGGAGGUUUGGCACCUCGAUGUCGGCUCAUCGCAACCUGGGGCGGAAGUACGUCCCAAGGGUUGGGCUGUUCGCCCAUUAAAGCGGUACGUGAGCUGGGUUCAGAACGUCGCGAGACAGUUCGGUCCAUAUCCGAUGUAGGCGUGAGAAUAUUGAGAGGAGCCUUCCUUAGUACGAGAGGACCGGGAAGGACGCACCGCUGGUGUACCUGUUAUGAUGCCAAUUGUAAACGCAGGGUAGCCAAGUGCGGAGAGGAUAACCGCUGAAAGCAUCUAAGUGGGAAGCCCACCUCAAGAUGAGUAUUCUGGUGUAAGGUCACGGGAAGACGACCCGUAAAUAGGCACGAGGUGGAAGUGCAGAGAUGUAUGAAGCCGAAGUGUACUAAUAGACCGUCGGCUUGACCG
rnacentral:rRNA from 1 species